rnacentral:rRNA from 1 species
UACGGAGGGUGCAAGCGUUAUCCGGAUUCACUGGGUUUAAAGGGUGCGUAGGAGGGCAGGUAAGUCAGUGGUGAAAUCUCCGGGCUUAACUCGGAAACUGCCGUUGAUACUAUCUGUCUUGAAUACCGUGGAGAUGAGCGGAAUAUGUCAUGUAGCGGUGAAAUGCUUAGAUAUGACAUAGAACACCAAAUUGCGAAGGCAGCUCACUACACAGUUUAUUGACGCUGAGGCACGAAAAGCGUGGGGAGCAAACAGG